CUUCCUCUCUCUUUGAGCUCUCAUCCUCCACGGCCCCGUGUUAAUGCUUUAAUCUGUAACUCUCUUUCCAUUCAGAGGUUACUACUAUUAACUCCAUUCUCGGCUUUCUUCGAAGCGUUGAGCUAAGGGACUUGAGGACUGAAGACAGAAUCACUGCAUUGGCAGAGGAGAUCAAGGCAAGAUAUGAUAAAGCAGCUGUCAAAGUUGUUGACCUGAUUCUUACACUUCUACAAUUUGGAGGAUAUACACUAGUGCAAAAUUCAGUUGAUCUGUAUCGAAGCUUUGGGUUUGAUACACAGCCAGUCCUCA